GGUUGCUUCAGGUUAUAAAGCAAAUUUGGACACAAAGACCCAGGUGGUGUACUUCAGAGUGUGAGUCUGUGGACUGGCAUUGUCCACCUCACUUGGGAGCUCAUCAAGACAGGCCAAAUCUCUGGUCCCAGCCGAGGCUAUUGAAUCAGAAGCUGCAUUUUAUUUAGCAAGGCCCCCAGGCGACUCCUGUGCACGUUGACAGUUGAAGGGCUAGUGGAUUGUGGUGAUAGGAAGAUGUUUGGUGCUCUGUGCCGGGCCUUGUUCUAUCGCUUGUGCACAGUGGAGCAUCCCAUCAGUUUCAUGUGGCUGUUUGUGAAUGCCUUUGUUUUGUAAUAUUGUUAUUAUUUGCCUUGUACAGAUGAGGACUCGCAGGUGUAGAGGCCAAAGGAGCCACAGGUAGAGCAGGCAUUCACCAAGGCGUGUGUGAUCCAGGGUGCAGCUCUCACCCUUGGCUGCCUGAGUGUUCCUCUCCAGACCUACUGUCUUGUGACAUCCCCUUAGGCACCCAGCACGGGCUGCUGUCUGCAUUUAGAACUGAGCCUAUUCAAUUGAUAGCUCAACUUAGGCCUCUAAAAAAAGAGUCUGCUGUGGUUGGUACAACUGUGGUUGGCUUGCUUGUUUGGUGUUCAUUUUUACAGUUUUCAGAAAGUUGGUUGAAGUGCUGCUGGUGGCCAUAGCAUUGAUAUGCAGGGGAGCUUUUUGAUCUGUGAGCUUUCUAGGGGGCCGUCAAUUGCUAAGCUGCACUGAUACCUGGAGCCCCUUUCCUUUGGAGCAAUGUGGAGCCCAGUUCAUGGAUCCCAGAAGUUUGGGUUCAGUAAUUUGGCUGCAGGCCUAGAGAACGGGAGGCUGCAGAGACCUGGACUAAUGGUGAACUCUUGCCUCCCCCAGGGAUAUGUGGUGCCUGUGGUAAGGUCCAGAGAGCUGCCUUCCACGAGACCAGCAGAAGAGCGGGCAAACAUGAAGUCCAGUGCUGCCAUCCAGGCUGCCAUUGACCUCACGGCGGGGGCUGCAGGUUCCUACUUCUCCACGCUGAAGACAUGGUGAGAGAAUACAGGGGGAGCUGAAGACAAAUAACGUAAACUUAUGUUUGAGAAGCACCUUUUACUCUAUGAAAUGAAAUGGAGAUAUGAGGCACAAGAACUACAAAUUCCUUCAAAAAGGAAGUGUAACCCUUGAUAUUCUGAAAAACAUUACUUAUCGAAGAGAAACUACAGCUUGUAAGACAUCAUCUUAAGGGAGACCAUCUUCCAUGUGAAAAAUUGUUGGCACCAGGGAGAAACGUUUGCUGGGACUGAUGGUGAGUAGUUUACUAGUUAAUAUUUCAUCAGUGUUACUGAGUAGAUUUC